GUCUUUUCGGAAACAUCCGAUAAAAUUAGAAUGAUGUAGAGAAGAGUAUGGUUUUUGCGCAAGAAUGACACGCACAAAUUGAGAAACGGUCCAAUUUUUU